rnacentral:rRNA from 1 species
GAUGAACGCUGGCGGCGUGCCUAAUACAUGCAAGUCGAGCGAAUGGAUUAAGAGCUUGCUCUUAUGAAGUUAGCGGCGGACGGGUGAGUAACACGUGGGUAACCUGCCCAUAAGACUGGGAUAACUCCGGGAAACCGGGGCUAAUACCGGAUAACAUUUUGAACCGCAUGGUUCGAAAUUGAAAGGCGGCUUCGGCUGUCACUUAUGGAUGGACCCGCGUCGCAUUAGCUAGUUGGUGAGGUAACGGCUCACCAAGGCAACGAUGCGUAGCCGACCUGAGAGGGUGAUCGGCCACACUGGGACUGAGACACGGCCCAGACUCCUACGGGAGGCAGCAGUAGGGAAUCUUUCGCAAUGGACGAAAGUCUGACGGAGCAACGCCGCGUGAGUGAUGAAGGCUUUCGGGUCGUAAAACUCUGUUGUUAGGGAAGAACAAGCGCUAGUUGAAUAAGCUGGCACCUUGACGGUACUUAACCAGAAAGCCACGGCUAACUACGUGCCAGCAGCCGCCGUAA